UGUAAUGCGUUGAGAAGGAGUAGUAAUGUUCACUCUAUUUAAAGAGAGCUAUCGUUUGCUGUGAGAUAGUAAUAGAAGACUAUGAACUUGCCUUUGAGCUUAUCUGGCAAACCAGAUACGGGUAAUCCGUUAUAUUUUGAGUGAAGCUUUAUGCUUAAUAAGAGUGGUACCGCGGAAUAGUAUCUUUCGUCUCUUAC
rnacentral:ncRNA from 1 species